GUGAGUAACACGUGGGUGACCUGCCCUCCACUCUGGGAUAAGCCCGGGAAACUGGGUCUAAUACCGGAUAGGACCACUGGAUGCAUGUCUGGUGGUGGAAAGUUUUUUCGGUGGGGGAUGGGCCCGCGGCCUAUCAGCUUGUUGGUGGGGUGAUGGCCUACCAAGGCGGUGACGGGUAGCCGGCCUGAGAGGGCGACCGGCCACACUGGGACUGAGACACGGCCCAGACUCCUACGGGAGGCAGCAGUGGGGAAUAUUGCGCAAUGGGCGGAAGCCUGACGCAGCGACGCCGCGUGGGGGAUGACGGCCUUCGGGUUGUAAACCUCUUUCGCCAGGGACGAAGCUAACGUGACGGUACCUGGAGAAGAAGCACCGGCCAACUACGUGCCAGCAGCCGCGGUAACACGUAGGGUGCGAGCGUUGUCCGGAAUUAUUGGGCGUAAAGAGCUCGUAGGCGGUGUGUCGCGUCGGCCGUGAAAACUUGGGGCUUAACUCUGAGCGUGCGGUCGAUACGGGCAUCACUUGAGUUC
rnacentral:rRNA from 1 species